GAUUUACUUGGGCCGAUUUACUUGGUGCUGGGUGCUGAAACCUUCCCGGAGGCACAGAGACAAAAACACAGCUGAUGUGAGAGCAGCAGGGGCUCACUCCACAACUGUCCUGAAAUGCAGCCCCUCGUGCUGAGUGUUGUACAGAACAUGGACACAGAUGCUGCUGCUUCGUCCUUGGAGCCUUGGGGAAGCACUGGAGUGAGUGGCAGCCGAGGCAUUUCACACCUCAGUGAGCACAUCCUCCCCAGGGCCAGGGAACAUCUUGAACAAUGGAUGGAUCAGGAAGAUGAUGAAUAGCCUGAAAUGCUGAUGAAGAACAUUCUCUUCUCAUUGACUCAAACUCAAGAAGAUAGAUGUUAAUAUUAUUUUAAAGCCACCUUCAUUGGAUUCUACCUUCUCUAUGCAAUCCACUUAUAUGAUCUCAUUGUCAGGUUAACUGAACACUUUACAGAUUUAAAGGCAUUUAUUCUCCCAAGAGCCCCAUGAAGGAGGAAAAUACAGUUGUCCCAUUAUAUGGGUUUGGAGCUGUGGCACAGAGGUGCAGCGUCACACACGGUGAGGCAGGGAAUUAAACACAGCUUUCCUAAAUCCCAGGCUGUCACCCUAACUACUGUUCCUGCACAUUUUACAGCAAAAUGAGUGGUUAAACUUGAGUCCCUGCUCUGGGUUUCCUCCUACCUACAUUAAUCUCUGAGCACCUUAGCAAACCUGAAAGAGUGCUACAUCAACAGGAUGGAGAGGGUCAGUAGAAGAAGUGUCCCAUUUAUUACAGCUUCUUGAUCAUGACUGAAUGGAUCACAUGCCUUAGGAUCCACUGGCAAAAGGUAAAUAGUUCCCAGAGGUAAUCUUUCAGCUGCUAAGAAUGGGAUACAAUACCUUACAAGAGUACAAAUGAGCUGUCAGAGAUGAUAAAAGCAGGUACAGCCUGGACUCGAUGCGCAGGAAAGGAUCAUAUUUCAGAAGUUCAAAAAGGGUUCAAAUUAAAAACAAGCAAACAAAAAAAACCCCAAAACCAAACAAACAAACAAACAAAAAAAUAAAAAAAAACAAAACAAAACCCAAAAACUCCAAAAAGGACAACAACAAAUAACCCAAUAUUGGCCCUGUGCAGCAAGAACAGCAAGAAACACCAAAGUCAUUCUAUACUGCUUGUAGGAGCCCUGGGGAGUCCGCAGCUGCCAACCACUGCAAAAAGGUUCCCUUAACUCAGUGGAUCAUGUUCCAGAAAUUAUAAUUAUUCAAGAGAAUCCAUUCUGUCUCCCACCAGCCCCUCAAGCUUUGAACCUUGUGAGUUUCUGUGCCUAUGGACGUUGGAAAGGGGCAAACAUUUGCCCCUAAAUAUUCUCUGGACCCAAUGGUCUAAUGGGUGCCACUCCUGAGCAUCUCCAUGCUCUUUCUCACCUUAGGAAAAUUGGAAUGGGAUUAUCUUGGAGACUCUUAUCAAUCUCCAAGGUGACCAACUUCAUUUACAUCAUUCCUGAAGGAUAUCUGUUCUGUACUGUGUGACUGCACAUUCUCAGCUGAUUUUCUUUCCCAUUGUUUAAAGGUAUCCAAACCAAGGGAUGUGUUGUGCCCUUCUUCAGUGUUGAGUUAGAGCUCAGUCCUGGUGCAGCUGUUUUAUGGAAUUUUCUGUGCCUUUUCACCUUAGAUUAUUACAAGACUCUCACCUGCAUAAUAUUCUUAGCUCUGAGCAGUUUUAAACUUGUUUAAAAACUAACUCCUCAUCAGGGCUUAAAUAUAAUUUUUCCUGAUAUGGAUGUGCAUCCACCAUCUGGACCUUGGCACAACCACACACCCAAACAUUUUAAGGGAACAGAUCAAAUGUGGAAGUAUUGCCAACAUGCUGCUGCACAAAUAGUUCUGUCUUUCCUGCUGGAUGAUGCAAACAUUUCACAAACACGUACGGCAAUAGAUCCUCUCUUCAUGCUAGCUCUGUCAGGGCAGAUUCAUUUCAUCAUGCAUGGAAAUUGAAGAAUUAUUCCAGUUACAUGCUCCUAAUUGCCACCCCAUUCCUCUCCUAGGUUUUCUCUUUCUGUGACCUUUUCUAAGUCAGAUUUAAAUUUGGGGUUAUAAAGUCCUUAGAGAAAAUUAAGAUGGCCCAAACAUCUCAUUUACUGAGGUGAAAUAUCUUCAUUAAUCUCCAGCAACUUCUGCCAUGUGAUGCUGGAAAGCAAAUGAUGGGGUAUUUUUGAGAUGCGAGAAGUGAAGGAGGAUGCAAUGGAAAUUAUGAGUUUCUGUAUCUCCUCUGACUGCAAUAACCAUAUGGUUACCAGAUUUAAAGCUUUUGAAAUGUGGCAUUGACCACUGAGGAACACAGAACCAUGAGACCCAGGCAGGAGAGGAUGUGAGCCAAGGAGGCACAGAGGUGACAAUGUGGAUCUUACAAGCUCUACAAUCCAGGGAGGCCUUUAGAAUAAAUUCCCUUGUUGUCACCACAUGGAGCAAACUGGGACUGGUUCUGCACAUUGAUUCUGCUGAAACCUUUGUCCAAGUAACAUCAUUUUAACAAAGGGUCCAAGAUUUGUGAAUGUACUACAGGAAAUCCCACGUUGCUUGGGACAGCUGGUGUGGCAGCGUGUGACAGACUGGAGCCAACGUGCUGUUUUCCCACCUGGUAGUGUGUCCCAUCUCCUUCUAGAAGACACCUGUGGCAAAUUCACCCCUAACAGGAGACUUUUCUGCUCCCUGAAAGAUGAAGGUCACAGUCUGUGUUGUUAUUUGUGCUUAAUAAAAUCACUGAACUUUUUGCUCCUCCAUUUUUAUUGCAGAGCUUAACCUCCCUGUACCCCAUAUUUCCUCUCAUAAACUAAGAAAUUUUCAUUUUUCUGUUCUGAUACCUUCACUUUAUUAAAAAAAAUAAAAAUCACAGUACCAAA